UACGUAGGGGGGCAAGCGUUGUCCGGAUUUAUUGGGCGUAAAGAGCGUGUAGGCGGCCAGAUAGGUCUGCUGUGAAAAACUCGAGGCUCAACCUCGAGCUGUCGGCGGAAACCAUUUGGCUAGAGUCCGGAAGAGGAGAGUGGAAUUCCUGGUGUAGCGGUGAAAUGCGCAGAUAUCAGGAAGAACACCUAUGGCGAAGGCAGCUCUCUGGGACGGUACUGACGCUGAGACGCGAAAAGCGUGGGGGAGCGAACAGG
rnacentral:rRNA from 1 species